GUGCUUGCUUUGGCAGCACAAAUACUAAAAUUGGAACAAUACAGAGAAGAUUAUCAUGGCCGCUGCACAAGGAUGACAUGCAAAUUCGUGGAGCAUUCCGUAUUUUA